rnacentral:rRNA from 1 species
ACUCUUACGGGAGGCAGCAGUAGGGAAUCUUCCACAAUGGACGCAAGUCUGAUGGAGCAACGCCGCGUGAGUGAAGAAGGGUUUCGGCUCGUAAAGCUCUGUUGUUGGUGAAGAAGGACAGGGGUAGUAACUGACCUUUGUUUGACGGUAAUCAAUUAGAAAGUCACGGCUAACUACGUGCCAGCAGCCGCGGUAAUAC